rnacentral:rRNA from 1 species
GAUGAACGCUGGCGGCGUGCCUAAUACAUGCAAGUCGAGCGAACAGACGAGGAGCUUGCUCCUCUGACGUUAGCGGCGGACGGGUGAGUAACACGUGGAUAACCUACCUAUAAGACUGGGAUAACUUCGGGAAACCGGAGCUAAUACCGGAUAAUAUAUUGAACCGCAUGGUUCAAUAGUGAAAGACGGUUUUGCUGUCACUUAUAGAUGGACCCGCGCUGCAUUAGCUAGUUGGUAAGGUAACGGCUUACCAAGGCAACGAUGCGUAGCCGACCUGAGAGGGUGAUCGGCCAAACGGGAACUGAGACACGGUCCAGACUCCAACGGGAGGCAGCAGGAGGGAAUCUUCCGCAAUGGGCGAAAGCCUGACGGAGCAACGCCGCGUGGGGGAUGAAGGUCUUCGGAUCGUAAAACUCUGUUAUUAGGGAAGAAAAAAUGUGUAAGUAACUAUGCACGUCUUGACGGUACCUAAUCAGAAAGCCACGGCUAACUACGU